UGUGGAGGCCUAGGGGAGCCCGG
rnacentral:miRNA from 1 species